UACGUAGGGGGCAAGCGUUGUCCGGAUUUAUUGGGCGUAAAGAGCUCGUAGGUGGCUUGUUGCGUCUGCCGUGAAAGCCCGUGGCUUAACUACGGGUCUGCGGUGGAUACGGGCAGGCUAGAGGCUGGUAGGGGCAAGCGGAAUUCCUGGUGUAGCGGUGAAAUGCGCAGAUAUCAGGAAGAACACCCGUGGCGAAGGCGGUUCUCUGGGACGGUACUGACGCUGAGACGCGAAAGCGUGGGGAGCGAACAGG
rnacentral:rRNA from 1 species